rfam:Lupinus angustifolius cultivar Tanjil contig_26329, whole genome shotgun sequence.
AAAAAAGCAGGGUCAUGUUUUUACAUGUGAGCAUGUCCUUCGUUAACCUCAGGGACAGCAUUACUUUACCAUUGUUUUUGGGUGAACCUCUUACUUGUUUCUGAUUCUAGGUUCAGUAAAUGAUGGAACAUGU